ensembl:lncRNA
CCUUCCGCACAAUUGGUUCCAUCUAAGACCAUCUCUGCUCCAGCUACUCCUGUACCACAUACUCGUCCACAGAGCAUUCCUGCCUCUGCCCUCUUGGCACAGCAAAACCAGACAACUGUACCACUAGCACAGGAGUUUCAUCUCUAUUUCCAUCCUGAAGCUUUCCCGCCUCAGGUAGACUCAGUCUGUAUAAACAACAUCAGUCUUUUUUAAAAUGUUCUGGAAAUUUUGGGAUUUCAGUUUCAGUCAUGCCGUAAAUUUGAUCAGUUUAUUGAAAGUCCACUAAACAAGGAAUAAAUUCCAUUUUAUUACUGACUUUGAUAAAGAUGUGAUAGGCAGCAUAAUUCAUGGGAGCUGUGGAUUAAGUGUUCUUUAAAUUAGUUUUCAUUUUAAAAUCAAUUAUUUUUUUCUCUCUUUGUCUUUCCCAGACUUUAUCAACAUUUCAGCCCCCAGUGCAGCCAUCUUCAGAUCCUCAGUCCAUUCCACAGCAUCUAUUACAGUCAGCAUCUUCAACACUGACUUUGAUAAAGAUGUGAUAGGCAGCAUAAUUCAUGGGAGCUGUGGAUUAAGUGUUCUUUAAAUUAGUUUUCAUUUUAAAAUCAAUUAUUUUUUCUCUCUUUGUCUUUCCCAGACUUUAUCAACAUUUCAGCCCCCAGUGCAGCCAUCUUCAGAUCCUCAGUCCAUUCCACAGCAUCUAUUACAGUCAGCAUCUUCAAUGCUCAGCACCACUAGCAUUCCUUCACAACCACAGCUAAAUGUUCAGACAUCCCUUCUCCAGCCUCUACAAAUUGCCACACAGUUUCCUUCGACAUAUCCUCUUUUGCCAGAAGGGGGCACAUCUGCAGGGACAGAGUCAAUACCUUUCUCCUCAGUCUCUUACUCUUCUCACUACCCCACAAAUGCUCCUCCUGUAUCUUCCCCCUACUACUCGGCAAGCCCUAUUACUGCUCCUCUUCCCAUACUACCAAUGCAGAAUGUACCCUGCAUGCUAGGAGAAGGAACACCUGUGUCCACCCCUCUGAAUGUUCCUACCCCUAUACCUCUCCUGGCUAUGGCCCUGUCCCCACCCAUGCUUCCUCCAGAGGAACAUCUGCAGCAGAUAUACUCCCCAGUUCCACCACCAGAAGGUGCCCUUUUCCAAACUCAACCCCAACCAACACAGCCCUUCCUUCCCAUCCCUAAUCCAGCCUCCCUCUUCCAGCAAGACCUAUCUAUUCCUGAACCUUUUACAGAGGAGUACCCUCGCCAUGAGGAAAUGCAGAUCCUGGCCCCAGCUCACACCAUUGUGUCACAGAUCCAGUCUCCUCCACAGGACAGGCAGUCAGAGCCAAACUUUACCACUGCCCAAGCCCCACCAGAGACCAUGGAGCCUCCUCUGCAGCCUGCUGGCAUACAGACAGGAUAUGCUGUUCCUGAGAGCACUGGCAAGCAAAUGGCAGACACCACUUCAAUGCCUAUUCCUCCUGCACCAGAGCCCAGCCCAUUUCAGCCCAGCACUGAGGCAACAGCACCUGUAUAUAUUCCAUUCCAUAGUUAUGUAUGUGACAGCCUAAACCAAGAUGCAGGUUCUGGUAAAGAAAUGAGUGACAGCUAUGAGGGACCCACUGGUGGAGGAAAGGGUGAUGGCAAACCUAGAAAGCACCACCGCAAAUCUGCUCGUACGCGCUCACGCCAGGAAAAAAUUAACAAGCCAAAGCUAAGCAUGCUAAAUGUGAGGAUAAAAUAUUUCUUCUUUUUAAAUAUAACUGUUUUUUGCAGUUACCUCCUA